rnacentral:rRNA from 1 species
AUUGAACGCUGGCGGCAUGCCUUACACAUGCAAGUCGAACGGUAACAGGCCUUCGGAUGCUGACGAGUGGCGAACGGGUGAGUAAUACAUCGGAACGUGCCCGAUCGUGGGGGAUAACGAGGCGAAAGCUUUGCUAAUACCGCAUACGAUCUACGGAUGAAAGCGGGGGUUCUUCGGACCUCGCGCGGACGGAGCGGCCGAUGGCAGAUUAGAUAGUUGGUGGGAUAAAAGCUUACCAAGCCGACGAUCUGUAGCUGGUCUGAGAGGAUGAUCAGCCACACUAGGACUGAGACGCGGCCCAGACUCCUACGAGAGGCAGCAGUGGGGAAUUUUGGACAAUGGGCGAGAGCCUGAUCCAGCCAUGCCGCGUGCAGGAUGAAGGCCUUUGGGUUGUAAACUGCUUUUGUACGGAACGAAAAGCCUCUUUCUAAUAAAGAGGGGUCAUGACGGUACCGUAAGAAUAAGCACCGGCUAACUACGUG